rnacentral:rRNA from 1 species
AUGGGAACGCGAAGAACCUUACCUAGACUUGACAUCUUCUGCAUUAAUCGUAAUGGAUGAAAUCCCUUCGGGGACAGAAUGACAGGUGGUGCAUGGUUGUCGUCAGCUCGUGUCGUGAGAUGUUGGGUUAAGUCCCGCAACGAGCGCAACCCCUAUUAUUAGUUGCUACCAUUAAGUUGAGCACUCUAUAGAGACUGCCCGGGGUUAACCGGGAGGAGGGGUGGGGGAUGACGUCAAAAUCAUCAUGCCCCUUAUGUCUAGGGCCACACACGUGCUACAAUGGUGAGUACAACGAGAUGCGAACCCGCGAGGGGGAGCUAAACUACAAAAACUCAUCUCAGUUCGGAUUGCAGGCUGCAACUCGCCUGCAUGAAGNUGGGAGUUGCUAGUAAUCGCGAGCCAGAAUGUCGCGGUGAA